GCCGAUGUGGCGGAACGGUAUACGCGCUUGUCUCAAAAACAAGUCCCGCAAGGGUUGAGGGUUCGAAUCUCUCCAUCGGCACCU
rnacentral:tRNA from 1 species